ACAGAGGUGCCAAGCGUUAGGCGGAAUCACUGGGCUUAAAGCGUGUGUAGGCGGAUGCCUAAGUACCUUGUGAAAUCCCACGGCUCAACCGUGGAACUGCUUGGUAUACUGGGUGUCUUGAGCCACUUAGGGGUUACCGGAACAAACGGUGGAGCGGUGAAAUGCGUAGAUAUCGUUUGGAACGCCAAUGGUGAAAACAGGUAACUGGGAGUGCGCUGACGCUGAGACACGAAAGCCAGGGGAGCGAACGGGA
rnacentral:rRNA from 1 species